UAUUGCAAAUAAUAUGAAAAAAACUUUGAUUAAGUAUUUUAUAAUUGAGUAGUUGAUUUCCAUCAUAUUAUUUUCAGGUGUACAACACAGAGGCUCAACAUCUUUAUAUAUUAUAUUCCAUUUAAUGUCACCAUAAAAUAAUGGCUAUAUUUCCCUGUGCUGUAUGAUACAGCCCUAUAACCUAUCCAUUUUAUACAUAGUACUUUUUACCUCUCAAUCCCUUACCCCCUUCCUGCCUCCCUCUCCUCCUUCUCCCCAUUGGUAACCACCAGUCUGUUCUGUGUACCUGUGAGUCUAUUUCUGUUUUAUUAUAGUAAUUAAUUUGUUUUAUUUUUUAGAUAUACAUAUAAGUUAAUAAAUAGAAUAUUUGUUUUUCUUUCUCUGACAUAUUUCACUUAGCAUAAUACCCUGUAGGUCCAUCCAUGUUAUUGCAAAAGACAUUAUUUAAUUUUUUAAUGGCUGAGCAGUAUUCCAUUGUGUGUGUGUGUUCAUGUGUAUAUAUGUGUGUGUAUAUGCGUGUAUAUAUGUAAAUAUACAUAUAUAUAUAAUAUACCACAACUUCUUUAUCCAGUCAUCUGCCAGUGAACAUUUGGGUUGUUUCAGUGUGUUGGCUAUUGUAAAUAGUGCUGCUGUGAACACUGGGGUGCAUGUGUCUUUUUGAAUUAUAUUUUUCUCCAGACAUAUACCCAUGAAUGGGAUUGCUGGAUCACACGGAAGUAUAUUUUCAGUUUUUUAAGGAAACUCUAUACUGUCCUCCAUGGUGGCUGCAACAUUUACAUUCCCACCAACCGAGUAGGAGGGUUCCUUUUUCUCUUAAAAGGUCAAAAAUUCUCUACAUUUAUAUACUUUCCUUACAGUUUAGGACACAAUUUGGCAAAAGCCAGAUAGAAUUUAAUAGGAGUAAAUACAGUAUUUUUUCAAAUGUCCAUGCAUUAUGGAUAGAUAUGUUAUUGAUGAGUUGGUUCCCUAUUUUUGUAGAUGCAGAAGUUUUUAUAGCUUCACAGACAUUUCAGUCUUGCAGAAAGAAAAAUGUCUUUGCAUUUUGCUGAACUUGUCCGGGUGGCUUUAUGGAAUUUGGUCCAGGCCUGCAGAGGUGAAUACACAUCCAAACCUGAACCAUUUGAAUGUCUGCAAGAUUUUAAGAGUCUAGAAUGUCAGAUCUGGACUAUAACUCUGGUGAAUGACAUCAGUGAGUGGACUCAAGAAAACUCCAUUUGAGUGCAAAGCCUUUCAUAAGCCAAAAAAGGCUUUGAAAUUGUGGCAAAGCCAGAGACUUUUGUGCACCACAUAUGGCCACAAACCCAUGGGGACAACCACAGGCCUUCUGGAGUGCCAAGGGAAUUCCAUGUGAGGAGUCCAGCACUCACAGGAAUCCAACAAGUCCCUGCCAGCCAGAGCACCUUCAUUGCUACUGUGGUAUUUUGAGCAAAUGUCUUUUCUUCAGGUUCAAAUUGAGAAAACUUGAGCCUAUGAAUCUAAACUCAUCUGUGAUGGUCUGCAGCUGGGAGCAAGCAGAUCAGUGUCAGUCCCUUUGCAGCCGUUGGCUGGGAGCCUGCAUGUUCCCUGGAAUGAUAUUUGAAACAUGUCACCCUAGCCGUGCCUUCGCUCUGGACUGGGAGGCGAGUCAGUCAGAAUCUGCAUUAUGGAAUGUUUUGGAUGACAAGCUUGUAUUUGCAAAUGUACACACCCUGUGGGAGGUGCUCUGUACAUACGCUGAGAUACUGUACAUAAAAUUGCCUCUGAAUCCCAAUCAUCUGAAAACCGUGUCCUCAGCCUUUGAUACCUUCAGCUGUUUUAUGAAAGUCCUCCAAGUGGAUGAAAGUAUCAACAACCGGAACAAGAGUUUUUCAUUGCCCUAUUUGAGAAGAGCUGCGUGAACGACUUUUAUAUUCAGGAUAGAGAUACAUUCAUCAAUCCAACCACCAGGAGCCUCACUGUAAGUCUAAACCGAGUUUAGCUGCUGUCUUGGGGGUGAUUUAGAACCUGCUGUUGAAUUAUAAGUGAUUUGGUUUUGUUGGUUUGGUUUGGUUUUUAAAAGCUGCCCAUAAAAAUGAAAAAAGAGAAAGAAAAGAAAUAUGCCUACAGAUUCCUGUUAGGAUAGUAAACAGUGGCUGGUUAUUUACCCUGUAUAAACCACACGCUUUCUUAGAAUCUAUUUAGGUUUACUUCAUCCUUUCUCAGAUCAAGUAUCAAGUAAGGGACAGUUUUAAAAAAAAAUUCAGGAUUAACUGGCUUGUGAGCUCCGGGAUCUGCAAGGCAGCUUUCCCUUCCCAUGGUGUAAGUCAAAUGGCAGAAAUGAAAUAAAGCACUUCAUGUAUCCUCCGGUGUUAACAGGAAAAGGUGAGUCUUCUUGACCUUGUUACUUCCUGGGUAAAAUGAAGAUAAUAUGUCAGGAGUCGACAAGCCCAUUUAGGGCAGGAACCAUGUUGUCUUGUUCACUGCUGAAUCCCAGGCACCAGGAAGGCUGAGUUUAACAAGUGGGUGAAUGAAUGAACUGUAGUUCCCCCAGAGUUACCAUGUGGGGCAGUGUGGAUUAGCAGCUAAGAGCAUAGACUCGAGAGGUGAGGGUACAGCUCAAGUGAUGGGGGGCAUGCUUAGCACGCAUAAAGUCCUGGGUUCAGCCCCCAACACCUCCUCUAAAAUAGACAAAUAACCCUAAUUACCUCCCCACCCCCCACCAGAAUUACUUUAUUAUCUCCCUGCCACCAAAAAAAAAAAAUAAAAUGUAGAAGUGGCCAAGAGCAUAGACUCAGGCUGGAACACUUGUGCUGGUUUCUCGCUGUCUACCUUGUAAAAGUCAUUUAGCCUCUGUGUUUAUCAAGUUCCUCAUCAAUAAAAUGGGGAUAAUAAUAGUACCCACCUCGUAGAGAUGCUAUGGGGAUUAAUGAAUCUGCUUGAAUUUUAGAACAGCCCUGGCUAAUAGUAAGUACUAUGCAUUUGCCAGCUCUUUUCAUAAUUACUGACAGAUGUUAUUAUCAACCAAAGAAGUAUUAGUUCUUUGUAAGGGAAAUGCAUGUUAGACCAUUUCAUUUAUCAUUUUCUGUAAUUCAGGCUUUUUCCCUCUGAAAUACCAUUUUCUGUCUGUGCACUAGUAAAUCACAGGGCUUUCCAAAUUUCAUCUGUCUGAGUUCUUGUCAUGAUGACAAUACUGCAGAGUUUUGACAUUUUUUAGGGACUCCAUCUGAGAUGACAGCAACCCCUCAAAUUCAGAAGCACUUCUCUAACUGACAACAUCUCGCAUGAAAUGAAGUUUGUAAAAUGUAAGAGCUUCAGACGCUAAAUGAUGCCAUAAAUGCAAAGAUGUUAUAUCUAAGCUCUUUAAAUAAAUCCUGUCAUUGAAAUAAAGGAAAUACUAUAUUAUAGCGCUCUAUGACUUUGUUACCUUGCUAUCCGUUUAUCUGACUCUCUAAGACAAAAGAAAGCAAAGACUGAGAUUGAUCAUUACUACUGUGUGGUACACGUAUUUGUGGAUGAAGACCAUACUGAAAUGCACUGUCUAAGAUACUAAAAUGGACACUAAACAGCUGCUUGAUGCACAUGCAUGAACAGAACAGGGAGCUGGUUGCAGGGAGCAGACACUGAGCUUCCUGGAUCAGAGACUCAGCAUAGCAGUCCAGCCCAGCAGUCCACAUGUUUUAUAUUUAUAUCCCAGCAAAAUUAGCAGUGAGAGUCUGAAAUGAACUUUGGGGACACUUGCAAACAGCUGUCAUGAUUACUAAUGUGGGACACCAGGAUUCUACAGUGUUUAGUUGGCAUCUGCACACAACCAUUUCUUUUCCACUAAAGCCUGUUGUAAUUGCUGGUUCCACAUCCAGGCUGAGGAAUCAUCUCAUGUGGUGUUUGGGAGGGAGG